rnacentral:rRNA from 2 species
UACGUAGGGUGCGAGCGUUGUCCGGAAUUAUUGGGCGUAAAGAGCUCGUAGGCGGUUUGUCGCGUCGACUGUGAAAACCUACAGCUUAACUGUGGGCUUGCAGUCGAUACGGGCAGACUUGAGUUCGGUAGGGGAGACUGGAAUUCCUGGUGUAGCGGUGAAAUGCGCAGAUAUCAGGAGGAACACCGGUGGCGAAGGCGGGUCUCUGGGCCGAUACUGACGCUGAGGAGCGAAAGCGUGGGGAGCGAACAGG